ensembl:lncRNA
GUCAUCUCAUGAUGUUCAGGGUCUUGCUGCUCCUGUUUGCCGUGGCUGGUCUCCAUGCAAGACCACUGCACCGAUUCCCAAAUGGUAAAUUAAAACCAAUUGGGCCACAAAUGGUCCAAGAUGAACACAGGGAUAGCUCAGUUCUGAAGCACAUGAACACUGAUGUGAAACCCAAGAAGCAACUACCAGUUCCCGCUGAGUUCUGCAGACAGGGAACAGAACCUUCCAGACGCUUCCUGAUGGACCUGAACACUGGGAUGCUCAAGCGUGGAGUUGGCAAAGUGAACGGAAAAGUUUCAAGAUUGGAUGAGCUCAAACAAGGCACUGAGAACCAGCUGCACACCCUGCAAGAGCUCAGAAUGCGUCCCAUGAUGAGAUCGCAGUACAUCGCUCAGAGCGAAAAACACGAGCAGAGAGCGAUCCCUGCCGAGGUGUACAGAAAAGGCACUGAAACUUCCAGAAAUGUCCUGAUGGACCUGAACACCGGUCUGCUCAAAGAACACAUGAACAAGAUGGACAGGAGAGUAGUGGCAGCUAAAUGGGAAGUGGUUUCUGAGCAUGAGGAUAUAAGAAGCCAAGACUCUUCUGAACAUAAGGAGAACCACAAAGCAGUUCCUGUUGAGAUCCGCAGACAGGGAACAGAACCUUCCAGACGCAUCCUGAUUGACUUGAACACUGGGAUGCCCAAGGAGGAACUCAGCGAAAUGAACAGAAGAGUUUCUGGCUUCUACAAUCCAGCAGCUAUUGAGAAGAGGCAAGGAACAGAACCUUCCAGACGCUUCCUGAUGGACAUGGACACUGGGAUGCUCAAGCACGAAGUUAGCGAAAUGAACAGAAGAGUUUCCGGCUUCUACAAUCCUCCAGCUUAUGAGAUGAGGAAGGGAACACAGAAUUCUCGCGCUACUCUGGUGGAUCCCAGAACUGGACAACUGCUGGAAUCUCUAACAGAGCUAAAGAGGAGCGCAGCGCCAUUGGAUGAGUUCAGACAAGGCACUGAGUACCAGCCGUACAUCCUACAGAAGCUCAGACUGAACAAACAAGACACUGAACCUUCCAGAAACCUCCUGAUGGACCUGAACGCCGGCCUACUCGAACACCAAAAUAAGAUGGACUCUUCUGAACAUAAGGAGAACCACAAAGCAGUUCCUGUUGAGAUCCGUAGGCAAGGAACAGAACCUUCCAGACGCAUCCUGAUUGACACAAACACUGGUAUGCCCAAGGAGGAACUCAGCGAAAUGAACAGAAGAGUUUCCGGCUUCUACAAUCCUCCAGCUUAUGAGAUGAGGAAGGGAACCCAGAAUUCUCGCGCCACUCUGGUGGAUCCCAGAACUGGACAACGGCUGGAAUCUCUAACAGAGCUCCAGAGGAACGCAGCGCCAUUGGAUGAGUUCAGACAAGGCACUGAGUACCAGCCGCACACCCUGCAGGAGCUCAGGAUGCAUGACAUUGUUAGACCAAAGUAAAGCGCUUAAAACGUGUACGAAAGUCACCGUGUUUAGAAUUGAUGAGGCCUGGUGGACAACGUUUGGCUGUGUUCGUACCCUAUGACUGCAUGAAGACCAUCUCAGAACAUCUAGUUGACUGUACUGUUGUAUUCAGAGGUUUCAUGCAAUAAAAGUGUCAUGCGAUAUUUGGAAUGACUGCA